GCUUAGAGAGGGGUCAAUGUCCUAUCAGCUAGUUGGUAGGGUAAUGGCCUACCAAGGCGAAGACGGGUAGCCGGCCUGAGAGGGUGGUCGGCCACACUGGGACUGAGACACUGCCCAGACUCCUACGGGAGGCUGCAGUCGAGAAUCUUUCGCAAUGCCCGAAAGGGUGACGAAGCGACGCCGCGUGUGGGAAGAAGGCCUUCGGGUUGUAAACCACUGUCGGGAGUUAAGAAAUGUAAGGGUGCUAAUAGUAUCCUUACUUGACUAAGGCUCCGGAGGAAGCCACGGCUAACUCUGUGCCAGCAGCCGCGGUAAUACAGAGGCGGCAAGCGUUGUUCGGAAUUAUUGGGCGUAAAGGGCACGUAGGCGGCCUUGUAAGUCAGUUGUGAAAGCCUUCUGCUUAACGGAAGAACAGCAUCUGAUACUGCAAGGCUAGAGUGCGGAAGGG
rnacentral:rRNA from 1 species